CAGUAGCCGCGGUAAUACAAAGGGUGCAAGCGUUACUCGGAAUUACUGGGCGUAAAGCGUGCGUAGGUGGUGGUUUAAGUCCGUUGUGAAAGCCCUGGGCUCAACCUGGGAAUUGCAGUGGAUACUGGGUCACUAGAGUGUGGUAGAGGAUAGUGGAAUUUCCGGUGUAGCAGUGAAAUGCGUAGAGAUCGGAAGGAACAUCUGUGGCGAAGGCGACUAUCUGGGCCAACACUGACACUGAGGCACGAAAGCGUGGGGAGCAAACAGGAUUAGAUACCCCCGUAGUCCCUGUCUCUUAUAA
rnacentral:rRNA from 1 species